rnacentral:lncRNA from 1 species
GUUUUAUGUUUCUAACUUUUGCCUAGAUCGCCGUUUCGGGUUUUUAAUCCACCGAGAUGCUCAUUUUUUCCUAAGUCGCCUUUUUUGGUUUUCAACUUAACGAGUUGUUCUUUUCUUUUUAGGAGAAGUAUUUCUUACUGCAUUGGCAUUUACAGGACGAGUGAAUUCUUCACCAUCCAUAGUUGUAGAAUAAAAGCACCGUCUGAAAAGGCUCUCUUCCGAACAUAUGGGCUUUCACAAUUAAG